rnacentral:snRNA from 1 species
GGAUGUGAGGGUGAUCUGGCUGUGACAUCUCUCACCCCAUUGAUCACCAGGGUGGAUUCCCCUGAUCUGGCUGGCCAGACGGGUGUCCCCUUCCUCCCUCACACCUCCACGUAUGUCCCUCCCAAAACUGUGUACUCUGGUCAAAGAGAACAACCUUCCCAGAGAGAGGAAGACCCUUCUCCAGUCAAGGGUGUACUAGUAGCUGUGCUUCUGGGCUAGAACCUCCAAACAAGCUCUCAAGGCCGUUUGGAGGAGAACGUAGGGACCCAUCCAGAUGAGGCGCUGCAGGUGGCUGUCUGCCUUUCUUU